GACAAAUUAUAACUUAUAAAGUGAUAAAUCCAUCCCUUACAUGGAAAGAAGAAAGUAUGGCUAAAAUUGUGAAGUUUAUUCGUGUUAUGAAUAUCAUUGUUUUACUAUUUUUUUCUGCUGCAAAUGUUGAAUGUAAACUAUGUUAUAAGGAUUUUGAUUGUAACUUCAUGAAGUGUCGUCAUUCCAAAGUAGCAAAAUGUAUAGAGCGUAAGUGUUUUUGUGUAGACCAAUCGUUAAGUAGUUUAGUGGUGAUUGACGCUGAAUUUAAUAAGAAAAAUCAUGGUUUAUAUCUUCACAACUGCGAUCGAAAAAAGGAUGAAGCUACAUGAUGCAUUUGGUGUAAUAUUUAAGAGAAUACCCAAUUUCUUUACUACAAUUUUCCAUGAAUUGUCGUUUAGUUAUCAUGUUGGCGCUUAAUAAAUUUAUUUUUCUUUUGUUAUUUAAGUCUUAAAAAUGUAAUUUUAUUUCGUCGUUAGUUAAGAUGAUGAUGAUGAAAUAAAAUAAGGUAUUAAUAAAUUUAUUUAGAUUGUCUUCUUCUCUUUUAA